rnacentral:rRNA from 1 species
UACGGAGGGUGCAAGCGUUAUCCGGAUUCACUGGGUUUAAAGGGUGCGUAGGUGGAUUGGUAAGUCAGUGGUGAAAUCUCCGGGCUUAACUCGGAAACUGCCAUUGAUACUAUCAGUCUUGAAUACCGUGGAGGCCAGUAGAAUAUGUCAUGUAGCGGUGAAAUGCUUAGAUAUGACAUAGAAUACCAAUUGCGAAGGCAGCUGGCUACGCGAAUAUUGACACUCAGGCACGAAAAGCGUGGGGGAUCAAAACAGG